rnacentral:rRNA from 1 species
GUGGGGAAUAUUGGACAAUGGGCGCAAGCCUGAUCCAGCAAUGCCGCGUGGGUGAAGAAGGUCUUCGGAUUGUAAAGCACUUUAAGUUGGGAGGAAGGGCAGUAAGUUAAUACCUUGCUGUUUUGACGUUACCGACAGAAUAAGCACCGGCUAACUUCGUGCCAGCAGCCGCGGUAAUACGAAGGGUGCAAGCGUUAAUCGGAAUUACUGGGCGUAAAGCGCGCGUAGGUGGUUUUGUAAGUUGGAGGUGAAAUCCCCGGGCUCAACCUGGGAACUGCCUCCAAAACUGCAUGACUAGAGUACGGUAGAGGGUAGUGGAAUUUCCUGUGUAGCGGUGAAAUGCGUAGAUAUAGGAAGGAACACCAGUGGCGAAGGCGACUACCUGGACUGAUACUGACACUGAGGUGCGAAAGCGUGGGGAGCAAACAGGAUUAGAAACCCUUGUAGUCC